rnacentral:lncRNA from 1 species
AAGAACAGAUGUUCUCCAGCUGUUGGGUGCAUUACUCUUUACUGUCUAUGAGUCCCCAGCUGGUGGUGCUGUCAGGGAGAGGGAAGAAUCCUGAGGAGGCGGAGCCUGGCUGGAGGAAGUACAUCACAGGAAGUGGGAUUUGAGGCUUUGUAGCUUUGUUCCACAUCCUGUUCCCUCUUCCUUCCUGAGUGUGACAAACGUGAACUAACAGCUUUCUGUUCCUGCUGCCAUACCCUCUCUGCCUGUUGAGAUGUCUUCUCCACCAUGAAGGACUCUGUCCCUCUGGAACUGACUCUGAAUUGUAAGAUUCUCAUGGUUCAAUGGUUAACCCAGCAGAACAAUUAUGGUGGUGUCCCAGCCACUGAGGAGAGAAGGAGGAAAGUCAGGACUGUCCAAGAACCAGGCCUCAAAGCCAGCAGCUAAAGUCAUGUACCACCAAGCCUGAUGACCUGAGUUUAAUCCCCAGGGCCCACAUGGUGGAAGGAGAGAACCAACUUCAAUCAACUGUCCUCUGGCCUGCAUGCAUGGGCUGUGGCAUGUGUCCCUUCCACCUACAAAACAAAUAAAUAUAAUACAAUUUUUAAUUAACACUGGUGGCAAGUCUAUAUUUGGGGAGAAACCUGAGGGCGAGAACUUCAUCCUGAGCAUACAGGUCCUGGUAUCUUGUCCAUGGAAAAAGCUAGACCAAGCACAGAUGGUUCCCACUGUUUCAUCAGCACUGCCAAGCCUGGGUGGUCUGACAAGCAUGCAGUCUUUUGGAAGAUGAAAGAUGAAGUGGGUGUUGUGGAACCUAUGGAGUGCCUCACUCAGGUCCAGGCACCUCAAGACCACAAGAUCACCACUGCCGACUAUGGACAAUUGGACCGCAUCGACGUGUGCUUCCUAACCAGCAGUCCCAUGCUUCUGUACUCAGGAGAGGCCUAGUCUCUCUUAAUAUCCCACAAGUUUUAAUCUGCAGUUUUGGGGAUUUCAUGUUUUCCUUGUUUCCUCUAAGUCUGGCUGCAUUGUAGAAUUAAGUCUAUGAUUAUAAACAAAAAUUAAAUAAGAAAAAUGCUAUGCAGAGAGAAUAUGAGUGCCAAUAUCAGUGGUGACCAUCUUACUGAGUCACAAAGUGACUGACAGACCUCAUUCUAGAGGCCAUCUUGGUUAGGCUUUGUUCCUAUGGCCUUCUAGAGUUCCAUUCAACUUUAAAGAGCAGGAGAAUGCCAUGGUGUGUUAGCUAUUUUUCUCCAUGCUGUGGUGGCAUGCCUAGUAAAUGACAACUGAAGGAGAGUUGACUUUGGCCCACAGUUUGAGGGCAUAGCCCUUCAUGAUGAGGAAGGCAUGGCAGCAGGAGCAUGAUACGGCUGGAACAUUGCAUCCACCAUCAGGAACCUGGUGCUCCAACAGCUUUCAGUCCAGGACCCAGCCCAUGGGAUGGUGCUGCUCACAUCCCCACAUUCAGGGUGAGACUUCCCACCUUAGUUGUCUAGACACUCCCUCACAGAUGUGCCCAGAGGCUGUUUCCUGGGGAUUCUGGAUCCUGUUGAGUUGACAAUCAGUAUUAGCCAUCACACCUGGAACACCUCCCUGAUCUAGCUGAGUUGCUGAUCCUCAAGACAGGGUGGCUUUUGACAUUCAUCUAAUCCCUAAGAAUUUCCCACACACCCCCAGGUUGUUGCUCCAGUGACGCAGCGCUAAGAAAGACUCACAUGCCACUUCUACCACAAGCCCUUUAAGAUUUCACCUAUAACUUCUUUAUCUGUAACUGGAGGACAUUAGCUUUGCUGUGCAAGCUUGACAACCAGAGUCUGAUCCUAGCAGCCACGUUUAAACAGCAGGUUGGGGAGCAGUGGAGCAUGUCUAUAAUCUCAGCACUCCAAUGACAAGAAGGAAGAUGGAGACCAGAGAACGGGUGAGAAGCUAACAGGCUAGCCAGACUGGAGCACGAAGUGCAGUGCCAGAAUGAGGGGGAAGGUAAGGCUGGAGACAGAGCUGCCCCAGGCACAAGGAUGACCUGAGAGCCAUAGUUCUCCCCAGAGACAGUGUGUACUUCAUGAAGCUCAAUCCCUUCUUGUUCUUAUCUGCAAAUCCCCCAACUCCGCUUGGACUCAGCACAGCCUCUUCUGAGGGAGACAGCAAAUACUUGCAUAACAAGCACUUGACUCCUCUCCAAAGCCAAGGUUUGUUCCGAUGGCUUUGACUUUCAACCUCCCUGUGUCUCCUUGAAAAGAUGAACUGCACUUUUGUACCACAGGACACGCCAGGAAUAGCUCCCAUGGAGGGAUCGUGGGCGGGGUGAGCAUCAGGAAAUGGCCACGCGGUCAGCCCAAGGGCUCCAAGGUACCAUUAAGAUGAUGGGCGCCUUUUUCCACCGAGGCUGCACGAGCCAUUGGCUUCAUUAGUCAUCUCUUCCAUGGGAGGUCACAGAUAGAGAGCAGCUGUCCAGUGCUCCUCUUGCUGGCACAGGGACUCUGGAGACCAUGCUUGCAUCCUUGAGAGCAGAGGACACUGGAGAACAAUUUCAGUCUACUCCAUCCCAGGUGAGGACUGAGAACAAAUAUGGUCUCUGCCUGAAGGUCAAGGCUUCAGCAAGAUGGACACAAACUCUACUCAGCCACUGUGGUAUGUUUCAGCAUCUUCCCACAGUGACUACUAUACGCAGUCAAUGGUGCGCCAUGAAGAAGGAGAGAGACAACACUUAUGGAUUCCAAAGGUCUGGAAGAGCCAGUCCUGACCUCAGAGGGGCCCAACCCUGUCUUAACUUCAGCUGAACAUCAUCUCUGAGGAACGUUGACCAAACAGUACAACUUACCCACCUUGUCUGAGAGUCACUAAUUGGAGCCAAUGGGGUCAAGCUUGUGUAAUGAUAAGUGUGUCAUUAAAGACUGAUAAUUAGAUAUUGGGCUCAGCAGGUAAAGGUGAUUUCCUGCAAGACCUACUGCCACGAGUUGUCCUUGGGCCAUCAUACACACACUAUGGCAUGCAUGUACACAAAUCCAUACAUAUCCACAUAAAUAAAAUAUGAUUAAAAUGAUCAUUAGAGCUAGGGAGAUGGCUCUGGGUCAGGUGCUUGUUGUGCAAGAAAGAGAACCAGAAUUUAGAUCCCCAGGACCCAUCCAUGUAAAGCCACACUCAGUAGUGCACAUCUGUAUAAUCCCAGUGCUCCUACAGUGGGAUGGGCUGCAGAGACAGAAGGAUUCCCCUAAGCUGGGGCAGUCACCAGCAUGGCACAUACAACGGCCAAUAAGAAACCUUGCCUCAUGAGGAACAACACCCAAAGCUGUCCUCUGACCUUCACACAAGCAUUGUGGUGUGGUACCCACGUAAACAAGUACCCAUACAUACACAUACCACACACCACAUACACAAAGAUGAAAUAAAAACAACAAUUUCUCGUCCUCUCAUUGCCCAGGGAUGAGUUUAGCUGCUGGACUUCCAAUGUUCCUUUCUCAUCCCCUUUGGAAUGUUCAACCGUCUUCCCUGAAAUAUUUUAAUUCCCCUUGUUUCCCUAUCGACCAGCUUUUUAAGGUCUGUCUGUGUAAACACCACAAAGAUAAAUUUCAGCCAAAUUCCCACUUGAUUUAUUCGGAUCGGGAAAUGCUGAGGGGGCCUAAGUGAAUGGGCUUCAGUUGUCCCUUGGGUGGUGAGAGGAGGAAUUCAUUACCCCUGACCUUUCUGAAAGAGUGCAGUGGGCAAGCCCCGUCCCUGGAAAUGAACAGAGCAAGGUUUUCUGUGUCCUAUGCUGCCUUCAUGGGCUGCAGCUAGAGCUGAAUGGGGAUGCAUCAUUCUUCCAGCAAAGAGGAAGCCAGAGCAGAGUGACCCAAGCUGGGGAGCCUGUCCACACUCCAACAGAGGCAGGGGAGGGAGAGAAAAAACAGGCAUGAUUCCCUGAGGCCUCAGAGAUCCCCACUGAGGGAGAUCAGGGCCACACAGACACACAAAUAU